rnacentral:lncRNA from 10 species
GGACAAUGCUGUGAGGCUCUGUGGUUUCGUGGAGCAAAACCCCACACAUCCCCAUGAGCAAGCCAGGGUCCUCCUACACACCAGACUCCUCAGAAACCAGAGUCGCAUGGGGUGAGGAGCCCAGGGACCGUGGCUGGACUGCAGGGUGGACCCAGCUUCCCCUCUACCUGCUAUUCCUCUGUUUACUGCACAUAAAAAUAGAUGAGAUUUAUGCAGAAUCCACCUUCUUUGUGACUAGUGCAUGCUUCUCCAAGCUUAACUCCUUAAAGCUCCUGUCAUUCGCAUUAAAUCUCAGGGGGGCAUAACUGGGAUUUAGAAACUCCCUGCUAUUUACCAGCGACAGAAUCUUACUAUGUUGCCCAGGCUGGAGUGCAGUAGAUUUUUACAGGUGUGGGGAAACUGUCAACACCCUCGCCUCUGCAGGAGGUAUGGCCAUGUAACGCAUUGGGCCAAAUGACUGGGACAGGCAGCAAAACCAGUGUGCACUUUUCCGUGUUCUCUUCAUUUGGGUAACCAGUUCCUGCCUGUGGAAAUUUACCUUCCAAUACUCAAAAUAAAUGAAUAUCAUUUUCUGAAAGUUAAAACUCCUUUAUGACUUCCUUUGUUUUCAAAUGUACAUUAGGAUUUCAUUUCAC